UACGUAGGGUGCAAGCGUUAAUCGGAAUUACUGGGCGUAAAGCGUGCGCAGGCGGUUUUGUAAGACCGAUGUGAAAUGCCCGGGCUUAACCUGGGAACUGCAUUUGUGACUGCAUGGCUAGAGUUUGGCAGAGGGGGGUAGAAUUCCACGUGUAGCAGUGAAAUGCGUAGAUAUGCGGAGGAACACCGAUGGCGAAGGCAGUCCCCUGGGCCUGUACUGACGCUCAUGCACGAAAGCGUGGGGGGCAAACAGG
rnacentral:rRNA from 1 species